UACCUUUGAACUUCCGGUUUAUUUGUAAGAUAUGAACAAGCAACUGGCCAAGAAAUUGAGCAAAAAUAUAGCUGAGAAUACCCGAGACCCGAGUCUUUGUAAUGUUUCUAAACUUGAAUCAAUGUAUUAAUAAAUCGUUCUGUGUAUGCAAUGUAAGUAUCAUUUAAUAAUGAGUAGCGUAAAGAUGUAAACGCACUUUUUGCGGCUUAUUACAGUAAAAGCAAAGUAUUGUAUAUAUUGUUUGUCACGUUAAAUUCGCUAAACUUCUGUGUGAAUGUGAUAGACUACCUGGCGUUCCCUCGAAACGUCGAAGUUUUGUCUAUUUAUUUUCAGGUAGGCUAUCACAUUCACACCAAGAUUUACACAGAUGUUUUAUCGAAGAUUCUACCAGCGAUCAAGCGUUCGAGAUAAAUUCGCUAAUAUUGCAUAAAAACACGAUGUAGUUUAUAUUAUAUCUAUUUCACUUUAUAGAAUGUUUAUCUACAGCUGCACCCAAGACGAAAUACAUUAAUCCGUGUUCGUGUUGUCAGCAAGUAGUUGAAUAGUUUUUUCCACCGGCACAUAAUUUUGUGAACAAAGACGAGACAUAGGCCUAUUUUAAAAACGAUGUUGACAAUAUUAUGUUGACAACAUUAUGUUGACAACAACAUACUGUACAGUAUUAAUGUUGUCUUUUUAUAAAUUAUAGUUGUACAUUUGCCUUUUUAUGUCAAUUACAGUAAACUUUAUUUCAAUUUAAUAUCGUGUGAUUUCACCACAUACUUGAAUCAGGU